rnacentral:misc_RNA from 1 species
GGGGGGCCCAUGGACAUACCUCCAGUCUCAUGUAACAGGCUCACCAUUGGCUUUGUUUGCUCAUUGUCAGGUAAGACAGGUUCUUCUCUAAAAGGAUCUGCAGAGCUAGCCAGUGGGAAGUCACCCACCAGAUGCAUUACUCCAUGCCUAUAAUUCAGCAAAUCUGUCUCAUUCUGGACCUCUGUAACAACCAAACUAUCAGGUAUAGAACCAGUAGCAGUGUUUAUAAUUUCAUUACUCAAUAGAGCAUCCUCCGUGUUUUUCUGGACCUCUGAUACAAAUAAACUAUCAGGUACUGAGAUAGUAGCACCUUUUGCAUUUUCAUUGCCAGGAAGAGCAUCUGCAAUGGCUGAAUCAUCAAGAAUAUCUUCAAGGUUCUCCAGAGGAAAUUCAGGAGGCUUAGAUUGUUUGACAAGAUCAGCGAAAAUAUUCUUAAGAUUGCUGCAAAAUGCGGCAUGCCCCAUCCUCAAAGUUUCAUCUUUUGGCACUCCAUACAGUGUCGGCGCUCUUCGAGCGAGGACUUGUAAGAUGCAGAACAAGUAAUGACGAAGAAUAACAUUGUUAAACGAGAUUGGGCUCUCAAGCAGGCGCAAUAAAGCAACAAGAGUUUCACCCUUCACAUCACUGUCAAAAUCAGAUUCAUUUCUAAUCUGGCAUAAACGCAUGGCAUGCACACCUAACUUCACUUGACCUCUUAAAGUUGGCUCUUCAUCCAAAUAUCUAAUAAACAAUGCCAAUGCAGCAUCAAUCCCAUUGCGCUGGAAUUC